rnacentral:misc_RNA from 1 species
CAAAUUCCUAGCAUAAACCACAUGAAAAUUGUAAGGAAUCUUGAAAUAGGUUUCCAGAAGAUGAUUUUAUUACAUUUAGAUAUGCAUGCGUUUUUCUCUCGCACAAAUCAUGAAUUCCUAAGUUAGAAGCUAAUCAUUGAUGAAAGCCUGUAUUCACAUAUGCAUGCAUGCAUGCAUACUCAUAGGGUUGUCAAAUUAUUGAAAUUUAUUUAAAUAUAAAGCAAACUAGCUACAGGGCUGACGAUUAGUUGAAUUUUUAAUGUUAUUUGAAGAAUCCAUGACAUUUAGUGUAAAAGGGACCUCUUUGAAUGGUUUUGAUGCUUUAACGCAGGGAUGGAUUAUUGAAGAGAAUAUAAAGUGAAGAAAAGAAGAAAAUGAGAGAAUAAAAAUUAGAGCCAAAGGUUUAGGGAUACGAAUAUAUUAAGCUUAUUAUCACAUCUUCAGGAUGAGACUUGUUUGGUAUCACAUAUAUUUUGUUUGGGAGCAUAUAAAUUGCAAUUUUCACAUCUAUAUAAUUGUUGGCUAUGGGCUUGCUUAGAAUAUAUGAUAACUUAAGGUUCGUCUUGUAAGUUGGCUGUGAGGUAGGAUCAUCAACAAGUGUGUUCAUACAAUGAGCCUUUAAUUUGAGAAUGUAAUGAUGGUUAG